UGCUUCCCGUACGUGAAGAGACACUAUGUACAAUAUUUGUCUGCUGCCCACUUUAUUAACUUUACUUGGUGGUCAUCUUGGAGCAUAUCUUCGUUUGCACCUACCUCGUGGUCUGCAAACACAGAUUUGUUGCCGUCCAGGAGAAAAUGAUGACAAACUUCCAGAAUCAUUUUGGUUUUCAGGUUCUUCAUGUUGUUGAUGUUGUUGUCUUUCUGGCAGACAUACAGUUUAAAGAUAUGUUCAC